UACGUAGGGCGCAAGCGUUAUCCGGAAUUAUUGGGCGUAAAGAGCUCGUAGGCGGUUUGUCGCGUCUGCCGUGAAAGUCCGGGGCUCAACUCCGGAUCUGCGGUGGGUACGGGCAGACUAGAGUGCGGUAGGGGAGACUGGAAUUCCUGGUGUAGCGGUGAAAUGCGCAGAUAUCAGGAGGAACACCGGUGGCGAAGGCGGAUCUCUGGGCCGUAACUGACGCUGAGGAGCGAAAGCAUGGGGAGCGAACAGG
rnacentral:rRNA from 1 species